AUGCAAAUCUAGCUAGAGUGAACAUUCCAGCUCUUGGCCUCACUUCCCCAGGAAGCACAACUCACUUCCUGUGAAAUUAGGAGCACAGAGGCUGUAUGAAGUGAUAACCAGGCAGAAGUGAAGCCCACUUCACUUUGUCCCAUAGCAAAACACACAUACGCACACUGGUUAGAAGUGCUCAGCCAUGCAGGUGAAGAUCCAGCCCUCUCUAAGGAUGGGCACCGUUCUCCUCCUCUUUCUCUUCACUUCAGAGGAAGCCUGUGCAGAGUUCAUCAUAAAAAGCGUGGAUCUUAUUAUGCAGCCCAGCGAUGAAGUUCAAAGAAGUACAAAUGUAUCACUGAAAUGCGAGGCAGAAGUCAGCCGCAGCCCAGGGUCUCACCUCAACUAUAAAUACAUAUUCUACAAAGAUUAUGUCAAGUUAAAUACUGACCAGAUCAGUGCUACGGAUGGCCUCUACUCUAUACCAGAUGUCAGAGUGAGUCACUCUGGGAAAUACAAAUGUGCUCUUUCAAUUAAGACGGAAACGAAGGAGAGCAGAGUCAAAGACCUGAAAGUGAAAGGUCUUCUGACACCAGUCCUAAAAGUGGAUAAACUUACAUUGACAGAAGGAGAUGAUGUUACUGCUGUCUGUACAGCAGAGGGAGAAACAGGUUUUUUGACAUUUUUCUUUAGAGAUGGACCUGAGGAACUCUACCGGAAGGACACUUAUAGUCAGAAAGUUGAGCACAACCUGACUGUUACUAAGAGACAUAAGAAUAUGUUUUGCUACUAUAGCAUUAAUCUGAGUGGCUCAUUAGAAACGUCUAACAACAGUAAUGUGAUUAGUGUUGACUUUCAAGAGCUGAAGAUCAAACCUGAUAUCAAAGUCAUGCCAUCAACAGAUGUUACUGAAGGAGAUCCCAUAACCUUGAGCUGCAGUGUGAAUAUGACUCACCAGAGAAAUUCAGAUCUAAUAAUCCAUUUAAUCCAUGAAAAAAACACCAUGCUUCGUUUGAACAUGACACAGGAAGAUUACAAAGUGAUUGCUAUGGCUAAUGACUCUGGAAAAUAUGAGUGCAUUUCAAAACUUGGUGGUGUUCAUAAAUCUUCCUCUGUGAACAUCACUGUAAAAGAGCUUUUCUCUGUGCCUGUCCUGAGUAUUCAUCCCGCUGAGGUUUUUGAAGGAGAAAACUUCACCAUUAGCUGUCAAAUCAGCAGCUUUGACUCAGAGGAAAUUCAAAGGAAUAUAACGUAUUCAAUAUUUAGAGACAAUACAAUAAUAAUAAAUAGUAACAAUUAUAGUGACACUGCAGGCAAAGUGACCAAUGAGGAAUACAUGUGUAAGGCUGAGGCCAAUAGGAUUACCAAGGAGAGCCAGAGGGUGCUGUUUGGAGCAAAAGUGCUCGUUUCAAAGCCUGAGAUCACAGCUUAUGGUCCAGUUAUCGUAGAUAAGCCAUUUUUGAUCCUUUGCCACUCUGAGAAUGGAACUCUGCCAAUUAUCUACUCGCUGAUGAGAAACGACAUCACUCUGAACAGGACCGAGGUGUCUGACCCUCAUGAGAAGGCUCAUUUCUUAGCCUUGAUAUCGACUCCUUCAGACAUUAGUAGUUACUUGUGUGCAGCAGAGAAUAAUGGUCGAGUCAAGAUGAGUGAAAGGCUACAUGUGACUGUAAUAGUUCCAGUAGAGACGCCCUUACUGACAGUCGUUCCAGUUCCCGGAAACAUUGAGGAGGGUUAUAAUAUUACCCUGAUAUGUGGCAUUCCAAAAGGCUCUCCACCAAUCAGUUUUAUGUUUUAUGCCAGCAAUCCCACACCAAUUCACAACACCACAGUACAGAGUAAUUCAUCCUCAUUUGUCCUGAGUACAGUGAACAGAGAAAAGAGUGGGAAUUACUACUGCACUGCAUCUAACAUGGCAGGCAUGAGCAUGAGUAACAUUGUCACAGUCGAAGUGAGCUGGGCAAAGUGGAAAAAGGCUUUGAUUGCUGUGUUCUUCAUGCUGUUAGUGGCGCUGCUGGUCCUUUUCAUCAUGAUACGCUACAAGGCCAAACGAGGUAGAAAGACCUACAGCCCCCCUGCAUCACAAGCUGCACACGUCUGAUCUAUAAACAAAACUCCCUUUUCAACUUUUCUCUCUGUCACAGGUAAAAGAGAGAUGGCUGCCAAACUAUCAGUAGCUACACUUUGAAGACUUGACGGGAAAGGUGACCUAUGGGACAUGAAAUCACCACAAUUGAUGGAAACAACUACAGAAUUGUGACCUUAUCUCCUAAUCGUGACCUUAUCAGAGUUUAGUGAAGGAUUCAAAAUUUGCAGGGAGUUUUGAAAGCCAAGAGACCAAGCAAAUUCUAAGUUUAAGAAACUCAGGAGGCAAAAUUAAUGAGCUUUUCUGAGGGAAAAACAAACACCCUUUUAGAACCACCUCUGAUCUUUUUACAUUUUCAGAUCACACUUUCUUUUUCAACAAAGGGAAACAAACUGUAUUUGUAACACGAUUGGACUUUUGGAAAAAAAAUUUUUCCAGUUGUUAUGCAAUAUCAAAAUAUUAAAUUUUUGUCAUCAAAUUUUGUCACUUUUUGAUGCUGGUAACUAACGUAUUGCAAUCAACCGUCCCAUCUUCUUACAACAGCAAAAAAAAUGCUUAACUCACCUAUAUCAUAGCAGUUUGACUCAUCAUUCAUCUGAACAGAAUCUGAAUCAUUUGUUCACUUUGUGCUUUUUCUCUGAUUUAACUGCUUUCCUUGCAUAUGUGUAUGUUUUUGCUUCCAUCAUCAUAUGUUUGUUAAAAGAUGUUGUUUGUUUCAUUUUACACUAUAAAGAGUCUGUGCAUUAUUUACUAUAUACGAUUGUGUGUAUGUGUUUAGUUGGUACAUAAAAUGAGAUUUGGUAGACACUUAAAAUCUAAUAAAAAGCUUUAUUUGGAAUUUC